rnacentral:rRNA from 1 species
ACGGCUACCUUGUCACGACUUCACUCCAGUCACCUGUCCUACCUUCGUUGGCCCCCUCCAAAAGGUUAGGCUACCAACUUCGGGUAUUACAGACUCCCAUAGCGUGACGGGCGGUGUGUACAACACCCGGGAACGUAUUCACCCUGACAUUCUGAUUCAGGAUUACUAGCGAUUCCAGCUUCAUGGAGUCGAGUUGCAGACUCCAAUCCGAACUGAGACCGAUUUUGGAGAUUUGCUCCACCUCGCGGUAUUGCUUCUCUUUGUGUCGGCCAUUGUAGCACGCCUGUAGCCCUAGACGUAAGGGGCAUGAUGAUUUGACGUCAUCCCCACCUUCCUCCGGUUUGUCACCGGCAGUAUCCUUAGAGUUCUCAACUUAAUGUUAGCAACAAAGGAUAAGGGUUGCGCUCGUUAUCGGACUUAACCGAACAUCUCACGACACGAGCUGACGACAACCAUGCACCACCUGUCACCUGGAUAGCCUCCACUAUAUCUCUAUAGCUUUGCCAGGGAUGUCAAGCCUAAGUA